rnacentral:rRNA from 1 species
AACGAACGCUGGCGGCAGGCCUAACACAUGCAAGUCGAGCGAGGACUUCGGUCCUAGCGGCGGACGGGUGAGUAACGCGUGGGAACGUGCCCUUUGCUUCGGAAUAGCCCUGGGAAACUGGGAGUAAUACCGGAUGAGCCCUUUGGGGGAAAGAUUUAUCGGCGAAGGAUCGGCCCGCGUUGGAUUAGGUAGUUGGUGGGGUAAUGGCCUACCAAGCCGACGAUCCAUAGCUGGUUUGAGAGGAUGAUCAGCCACACUGGGACUGAGACACGGCCCAGACUCCUACGGGAGGCAGCAGUGGGGAAUCUUAGACAAUGGGGGAAAACCUGAUCUAGCCAUGCCGCGUGAGCGAUGAAGGCCUUAGGGUUGUAAGCUCUUUCAGCUGGGAAGAUAAUGACGGUACCAGCAGAAGAAGCCCCGGCUAACUCCGUG